CCUACGGGAGGCAGCAGUGGGGGAUAUUGCACAAUGGGGGAAACCCUGAUGCAGCGACGCCGCGUGGGUGAAGAAGUAUUUCGGUAUGUAAAGCCCUAUCAGCAGGGAAGAAAGAAGACGGUACUUGACUAAGAAGCCCCGGGUAACUACGUGCCAGCACCCGCGGUAAUACGUAGGGGGCGAGCGUUAUCCGGAUUCACUGGGUGUAAUGGGAGCGUAGACGGCCGUGCAAGCCAGGAGUGAAAGCCCGGGGCCCAACCCCGGGACUGCUCUUGAAACUGUGCGGCUGGAGUGCGGGAGGGGCAAGCGGAAUUCCUGGUGUAGCGGUGAAAUGCGUAGAUAUCAGGAGGAACACCAGCGGCGAAGGCGGCCUACUGGACCGCGACUGACGUUGAGGCUCGAAAGCGUGGGGAGCAAACAGGAUUAGAUACCCGGGUAGUC
rnacentral:rRNA from 1 species